GAUGAAGAACGUAGCGAAAUGCGAUAAGUAGUGUGAAUUGCAGAUUUCAGUGAAUCAUCGAAUCUUUGAACGCACAUUGCGCCCGCCAGUAUUCUGGCGGGCAUGCCUGUUCGAGCGUCAUUUCAACCCUCAAGCCCCCGGGCUUGGUGUUGGGGAUCGGCCGCCCUCCGGCGCGCCGGCCCCGAAAUCUAGUGGCGGUCUCGCUGUAGCCUCCUCUGCGUAGUAGCACACCUCGCACCGGAACGCAGCCUGGCCACGCCGUUAAACCCCCCACUUCUGAAGGUUGACCUCGGAUCAGGUAGGAAUACCCGCUGAACUUAAGCAUAUCAAUAAGCGGAGGA
rnacentral:misc_RNA from 1 species